UUUCCUCUUGAUUUAUCCCCUGAAGUUGGCAUCUUUUGAAGAUGAGGAUGAUUUUAGAAGACAGACAGGGGAGAGGAUAGUGCUACUGAAGUAGUGAAUGGCGAAAGGGGAGAUAAAAAUGAGGGAUCUUGGGUUUGAAGUCUGAAUACUUCCUUUGCACCAUCAAGUCUCACCACAACGUUGCAUUGUGCGCCGCCUUACACCAGAAGAAGGACGAUGAGGGCUUACCCCAAUAACCUCUCAGGACGUAGAAGAUAAUGGGCAACCGGAGUAGGAGAGAACGUUCAGGUCAAGGCACAGAUAACUAAUGUUGAAAAGAGAGUGCUUAUUUUGAAAUGGAGGAGGAUGAAGACGAAGAUGAGGAUGAAAACGAGGAAGAAUGCAAUAUCAAAAAGAAGGGAAAUUUGCUCCUGCAAACACCAAAGUCAUUCCCGGCCUUGAAGAUACUGAUUUAAAAUGCGACAGGCACAAGAGCUCCAGCA